CCUACGGGAGGCAGCAGUGGGGAAUAUUGGACAAUGGGCGAAAGCCUGAUCCAGCAAUGCCGCGUGAGUGAUGAAGGCCUUCGGGUCGUAAAGCUCUUUUACCAGGGAUGAUAAUGACAGUACCUGGAGAAUAAGCUCCGGCUAACUCCGUGCCAGCAGCCGCGGUAAUACGGAGGGAGCUAGCGUUGUUCGGAAUUACUGGGCGUAAAGAGUACGUAGGCGGUUAUUCAAGUCAGAGGUGAAAGCCCGGGGCUCAACCCCGGAACUGCCUUUGAAACUAGAUAACUAGAGUCUUGGAGAGGUUAGUGGAAUUCCGAGUGUAGAGGUGAAAUUCGUAGAUAUUCGGAAGAACACCAGUGGCGAAGGCGACUAACUGGACAAGUACUGACGCUGAGGUACGAAAGCGUGGGGAGCAAACAGGAUUAGAUACCCUGGUAGUCCACGCCGUAAACGAUGAUAACUAGUUGUUCGGUCACUUGGUGACUGAGUGACGCAGCUAACGCAUUAAGUUAUCCGCCUGGGGAGUACGGUCGCAAGNUUAAAACUCAAAGGAAUUGACGGNNGAGAGNGCGACGCGACGACGAGGAGAG
rnacentral:rRNA from 1 species